rnacentral:rRNA from 1 species
AUUGAACGCUGGCGGCACGCUUUACACAUACAAGUCGAACGGUAACAGGGAGCUUGCUCCGCUGACGAGUGGCGAACGGGUGAGUAAUGCGUCGGAACGUGCCGAGUAGUGGGGGAUAACGCAUCGAAAGGUGUGCUAAUACCGCAUACGAACUGAGGUUGAAAGUGGGGGACCUUCGGGCCUCACGCUAUUCGAGCGGCCGACGUCUGAUUAGCUAGUUGGUGAGGUAAAGGCUCACCAAGGCGACGAUCAGUAGCGGGUCUGAGAGGAUGAUCCGCCACACUGGGACUGAGACACGGCCCAGACUCCUACGGGAGGCAGCAGUGGGGAAUUUUGGACAAUGGGCGCAAGCCUGAUCCAGCCAUGCCGCGUGUCUGAAGAAGGCCUUCGGGUUGUAAAGGACUUUUGUCCGGGAGCAAAUGCUGGUGGCUAACAUCCACCGGAGCUGAGAGUACCGGAAGAAUAAGCACCGGCUAACUACGUGCCAGCCGCCGCGGUAAAAC